rnacentral:lncRNA from 1 species
AGGGGAGGAGAGGAGGGAGCAGAAGGGUUUGGAGGGAAGGAGAAAGAGGGGGAGGGAAAGCAGGGGGCUGGCCGGGGGCUGACAGUGUAGACCCUCCAGGGGGGUGAGUUAAAGAGGUAAGAGGGGAAGGCAGGCUGGCCCAGGACACUUACCUCCUCCCCGGGCAGGGCCUGGGCACGCAGGGAGGAGCGCACUUGGCGAAGGGAGCAGCGCGCCAGGUCCUUGGUCUUGCGCAGCUGGUCACCCUGUGGCCGGUACGUGGUGGGACACCUGCCCAGGACGUCCACCUGGGAGAGCGCGGGGACCCCGUCAGCCCCCUGUGGGCCCCCUGCUCCCACCCCCGCACCCCCUUACCCCUCUACCUCCCUACCCCUGCAGGCUCCAGGCCUCACCUCCUCAAGGAUCUGGGGGUCACUGGCUCCAGGGAGACCCUGCAGGAGGCUCAGCACCCCACGCUUCACAUUCAGCGCCCAGCGGGGCUCUGCGCGGCGGGGACACAGCUCCCUGCAGGGAGUGACCUGAGAUCCCAUCGCUGUGCAGAGGAGGAAAAGAGGCCCAGAGAGGGGAAGCUCCUGGAGGGGAUCAUACAGCAAGUCAGGGAGGAGCUGGAACCAGAAUUCAGCCCGAUGCUUGUCUUGCCACCCCUCACCUGGCUGAAAGGAGCCUGUGUCCUGCAUCUGCCAGAGCUGCCACCUUGGGCCCCAGGAUGGAUGUCGCCUGGAAGUCUUGGAGCUGAAGCAGAAAGCCCCAUGAGCCAGUGACCUCUCCUAGGACACCCUAGGAUCUCACCAACACCCCAAUCCACGAAGCAGUUCUGGGGCCCAGCACAAUAUACAGCCCCAUGCUGGGGGCUAGGCAGAGAGAUCCCUCCCUUGAGCAGAAGGUUCUAGAUCCUAGGUGGUGGAUGCCAAAUACCUUCAAAGGAUAAAUCAUUGAAACCGCCAGGACCUAUCAUUCCCUGAUAAAUGUUCAGAAAGGUCCCACUAGUUUCUCAUUUUGCCCCCAAGGCCAUGGAGGUUUGGGUUAGAGAUUCAUAUGGCUACACAGUAUAAAUAAAAUAGGUUAGGAUUGUAAAGCAAACAAACAAACAGAAAAAAGACUUUGCCCGCCAUGAAUAAAAAACUUGGAUGUCCCAAUAGCACUAUGGGUAUAUAUGUACAUGUGUGUACGUGUACUUAUUGCCAAAGACAACAGUCUUUCUAAAGAUGAAAAAGAAAACCAUCCCCAAAAAUUGCCUCUUGAGAGAUAUCUCUUAAGAGAUAACUAAUAUCACUUUAAAAAAACAAAAAGACUCUUUCUCUAGAACAGUAUUAGGUUUAUAGCCAUAUUGAGAACAACAUAGGGAGAUAUCCCAUAUACCCCAUAUAUACCCGUAUCCUUCUCUAUUACCAACAUCCCCACCAGGGAGGCACAUUUAUUACAAUCAAUGAACCUGAAGACACAUCAUCAUCACCCAAAGUCCAGAGUUUACACCAGGGUUCACUCUUGGCAGUGUCCCUUCUAUGGGUUCGGACACAUGGAUAAGGAUGUGUGUCCACUAUUAUGGUAUCAUACAGAGCGGUUUCACUGCCCUAGGAUUUCACUUCUCCAAAGUGACUAAUCUUCACUCAUCUGGCCUAAAACCCAUUUCCAAUCUCUCCUGAAAACCAGCUCUCCUCCCCCAACAGAGGGUCCGUCAUCUCCCCAGUCACCCAGGCUUGACACGUCGGGGUGAAGUACAGCCCCACUUGGUACCUGGAGGUUGUCCUGAACAAUGAAUCCCUCAGCCAUGGAACUGAUACCACUUAUUGUCUGACCACUUGUUUGAAUGCUACCCAUUGUAACUGUACUCCAUAUGCUCACAAUUUUACAUGGAGACAUGGAAGAUAUUUUUUGAAAACCUACUGAACUGUAUACCUAAAAAUGGGGCACCCGGGUGGCUCAGUCAGUUAAGUGUCUGCCUUCGGCUCAGGUCAUGAUCCCAGGGUCCUGGGAUGGAGCCCCACAUCAGGCUCCCCACUCGGUGGGGAGUCUGCUGCUCCCCCCGCCCUCACCCUGCUCAUUCUCUCUCUAAUAAAUAAAUAAAUAAAUAAAAUCUUUUUUAAAAAUGAGUUAAAAGGGUCACCUAGGUGGCUCAGCAGUUGAGCAUUUGCCUUCGGC